rnacentral:rRNA from 1 species
UACGAAGGGGGCUAGCGUUGUUCGGAAUUACUGGGCGUAAAGGGUGCGUAGGCGGGUCUUUAAGUCAGGGGUGAAAUCCUGGAGCUCAACUCCAGAACUGCCUUUGAUACUGAGGAUCUUGAGUUCGGGAGAGGUGAGUGGAACUGCGAGUGUAGAGGUGAAAUUCGUAGAUAUUCGCAAGAACACCAGUGGCGAAGGCGGCUCACUGGCCCGAUACUGACGCUGAGGCGCGGAAGCGUGGGGAGCAAACAGG